rnacentral:rRNA from 1 species
GACGAGCGCUGGCGGCGUGCUUAACACAUGCAAGUCGAACGGAAAGGCCCUGCUUUUGUGGGGUGCUCGAGUGGCGAACGGGUGAGUAACACGUGAGUAACCUGCCCUUGACUUUGGGAUAACUUCAGGAAACUGGGGCUAAUACCGGAUAGGAGCUCCUGCUGCAUGGUGGGGGUUGGAAAGUUUCGGCGGUUGGGGAUGGACUCGCGGCUUAUCAGCUUGUUGGUGGGGUAGUGGCUUACCAAGGCUUUGACGGGUAGCCGGCCUGAGAGGGUGACCGGCCACAUUGGGACUGAGAUACGGCCCAGACUCCUACGGGAGGCAGCAGUGGAGAAUAUUGCACAAUGGGCGGAAGCCUGAUGCAGCAACGCCGCGUGCGGGAUGACGGCCUUCGGGUUGUAAACCGCUUUCGCCUGUGACGAAGCGUGAGUGACGGUAAUGGGUAAAGAAGCACCGGCUAACUACGUG